rnacentral:rRNA from 1 species
UACGUAGGGGGCAAGCGUUGUCCGGAUUUAUUGGGCGUAAAGAGCGUGUAGGCGGCCAUACAGGUCAGCUGUGAAAACUCGAGGCUCAACCUCGAGACGUCGGUUGAAACCGUAUGGCUAGAGUCCGGAAGAGGAGAGUGGAAUUCCCGGUGUAGCGGUGAAAUGCGCAGAUAUCGGGAAGAACACCCGUGGCGAAGGCGGCUCUCUGGGACGGUACUGACGCUGAGACGACGAAAGCGGUGGGGAGCGAACAGG